rnacentral:rRNA from 1 species
GUCUUUUUGAGUAUAAUUUAAAGUCUAGCCUGCCCAAUGAAUUGUUUAAUGGCCGCAGUAUUUUAACUGUGCAAAGGUAGCAUAAUAAUUAGUUUUUUAAUUGAAAACUGGUAUGAAUGGUUGGACGAGAAAAAAGCUGUCUCAAUUUAAAUUUGAUUAGAAUUUUAUUUUUAAGUUAAAAAGCUUAAAUAUUUUUAAAAGACGAGAAGACCCUAUAGAGUUUUAUAUUAUAUUUUUAUUUUAUUUAUAAAGUAUUGAUUUGUUUUAUUUUAAUAUAGUAUUUUGUUGGGGUGAUAUAAAAAUUUAAGUAACUUUUUAUUUUAAUUUACAUUGAUAUAUGAUUAAUUGAGCCAUAUUUUAUGAUUAAAAGAUUAAAUUACCUUAGGGAUAACAGCGUAAUUUUUUUUUAGAGUUCUUAUCGAAAAAAAAGUUUGCGACCUCGAUGUUGAUUAAAA